GCUCCUGUAGCUCAAGGGACAGAGUGCCCGGUUCCGAACCGGGUGAUGGAGGUUCGAGUCCUUCCGGGAGCG
rnacentral:tRNA from 1 species